rnacentral:rRNA from 1 species
GACGAACGCUGGCGGCGUGCUUAACACAUGCAAGUCGUACGGUAAGGCCCUUUCGGGGGUACACGAGUGGCGAACGGGUGAGUAACACGUGAGUAACCUGCCCACAACUUUGGGAUAACGCUAGGAAACUGGUGCUAAUACUGGAUAUGUGCUCCUGCUGCAUGGUGGGGGUUGGAAAGCUCCGGCGGUUGUGGAUGGACUCGCGGCCUAUCAGCUUGUUGGUGGGGUAGUGGCCUACCAAGGCGGCGACGGGUAGCCGGCCUGAGAGGGUGACCGGCCACAUUGGGACUGAGAUACGGCCCAGACUCCUACGGGAGGCAGCAGUGGGGAAUAUUGCACAAUGGGCGCAAGCCUGAUGCAGCAACGCCGCGUGCGGGAUGACGGCCUUCGGGUUGUAAACCGCUUUCAGCAGGGACGAAGCUUUUUGUGACGGUACCUGCAGAAGAAGCACCGGCUAACUACGUGC